rnacentral:rRNA from 1 species
GACGGAGGAUGCAAGUGUUAUCCGGAAUCACUGGACGUAAAGCGUCUGUAGGUGGUUUAAUAAGUCAACUGUUAAAUCUUGAGGCUCAACCUCAAAAUCGCAGUCGAAACUAUUAGGCUAGAGUAUAGUAGGGGUAAAGGGAAUUUCCAGUGGAGCGGUGAAAUGCGUAGAGAUUGGAAAGAACACCGAUGGCGAAGGCACUUUACUGGGCUAUUACUAACACUCAGAGACGAAAGCUAGGGUAGCAAAUGGG